ACAGGAUUAAAUGGGGCCAAAUCAUCAAAGGAUAUUUUUGCCAUCAGUAUUUGGGGUGCAAUGCAUUCUAGAAAUUGGAGUAGACAAUAAUACAAUCACUUUGCGCAGCUGGGUUGACUUCUGUGCGGGUUUUUACAUGAACUUGUUUUCUCAUGUAAUAACAAAAAAAAAUAUUUGCAUUCUUAAAACCUUGACCAUUUUAACAACUCUUCAAUCUGUGUUUCUUAUUCUAAUCAUUUAAUGAUCCGCUUAUUUUUGGUCCUUCUUCUGAUACCCCAGCUAUCUUCGCUGGGGUGGGAGUGGCCGUUGCCGUUGUUAUCCUUCUAGCUUUAGGAAUCAUCUUUGUCCUGUUCAGAGGAAGAAUCGGAAGAAGGACUUUUGCCAAGUCAACUGCAGAGAAGCCGGCCGGACUGGUCGGCUACCACCACGGAGUGGUUGACGUAGUAAACACUGCGUACGCUACACCAACGUCACUUCCGUCCGGACAGCCAGGCAACGAGGAAGUAGAGAAUCACAUUUACGCUACCAUCCCCGAUGAUCAAUACCUUGUCCCGGAUGCAUUCAACAAUGGACAAGUUGAA